rnacentral:rRNA from 1 species
AUACGUAGGGGGCGAGCGUUGUCCGGAAUGAUUGGGCGUAAAGGGCGCGUAGGCGGCCCGGUAAGUCUGGAGUGAAAGUCCUGUUUUUAAGAUGGGAAUUGCUUUGGAUACUGUCGGGCUUGAGUGCAGGAGAGGUAAGUGGAAUUCCCAGUGUAGCGGUGAAAUGCGUAGAGAUUGGGAGGAACACCAGUGGCGAAGGCGACUUACUGGACUGUAACUGACGCUGAGGCGCGAAAGUGUGGGGAGCAAACAGGAUUAGAUACCCUGGUAGUCCACACUGUAAACGAUGAAUGCUAGGUGUAGGGGGUAUCGACCCCUUCUGUGCCGCAGUCAACACAAUAAGCAAUCCGCCUGGGGAGUACGGCCGCAAGGUUGAAACUCAAAUGAAUUGGCGGGG